rnacentral:rRNA from 1 species
UACGUAGGGGGCUAGCGUUGUCCGGAAUCAUUGGGCGUAAAGCGCGUGUAGGCGGUCCGGUAAGUCCGCUGUGAAAGUCGGGGGCUCAACCCUCGGAUGCCGGUGGAUACUGUCGGGCUGGAGUGCGGAAGAGGCGAGUGGAAUUCCUGGUGUAGCGGUGAAAUGCGCAGAUAUCAGGAGGAACACCAAUUGCGAAGGCAGCUCGCUGGGACGUUACUGACGCUGAGACGCGAAAGCGUGGGGAGCAAACAGG